rnacentral:sRNA from 1 species
GACACGAUUACAACGCUAGUUAUCGCCA